rnacentral:rRNA from 1 species
UACGAAGGGGGCAAGCGUUGUUCGGAAUUACUGGGCGUAAAGCGCACGUAGGCGGUUAUUCAAGUCGGGGGUGAAAGCCCGGGGCUCAACCCCGGAACUGCCCUCGAAACUAGGUAGCUAGAAUCUUGGAGAGGCGAGUGGAAUUCCGAGUGUAGAGGUGAAAUUCGUAGAUAUUCGGAAGAACACCAGUGGCGAAGGCGACUCGCUGGACAAGUAUUGACGCUGAGGUGCGAAAGCGUGGGGAGCAAACAGG